AUUGACCGCUGGCGGCAGGCCUAACACAUGCAAGUCGAGCGGAGCGGCGGACGGGUGAGUAAUGCCUAGGAAUCUGCCUGGUAGUGGGGGAUAACGUCCGGAAACGUGCGCUAAUACCGCAUACUAUCAGAUGAGCCUAGGUCGGAUUAGCUGGUUGGUGGGGUAAAGGUCUACCAAGGCGACGAUCCGUAACUGGGCUGAGAGGAUGAUAAGUCACACUGGAACUGAGACACGGUCCAAACUCAUACGGGAGGCAGCAGUGGGGAAUUUUGGAAAAUGGGGGAAACCCUGAUCCAGCCAUCCGGCGUGUAUGAUGAAGGGCUUCGGGUUGUAAAGUACUUUUGGCAGAGAAGCGGUAUCUGCAGAAUAAGCACCGGCUAACUACGUGCCAGCAGCCGCGGUAAUAC
rnacentral:rRNA from 1 species